rnacentral:rRNA from 1 species
UACGUAGGGUCCGAGCGUUGUCCGGAAUUAUUGGGCGUAAAGGGCUCGUAGGCGGUCUGUUGCGUCGGGAGUGAAAACUUACAGCUUAACUGUGAGCGUGCUUUCGAUACGGGCAGACUUGAGGCAUUCAGGGGAGAACGGAAUUCCUGGUGUAGCGGUGAAAUGCGCAGAUAUCAGGAAGAAUAUCCGUGGCGAAGGCGGCUCUCUGGUACGGCACUGACGCUGAGACGCGAAAGCGUGGGGAGCGAACAGG